CCUUCAGGAGCAGAAUGCUGUUCAGGAGAAGACAAGACGUGGGCUGCAGGUGGGACACAGGGGCAUGGGGUAGUAUGGGGACAUAGAGAGUAUGGGAGGAUUUGGGGAGCGGUUUGAGGUAAAAACAGGGUGGGGGGGCAGAGUUGUAGUGGUUUCUGUUCAUCCUGAGAGGGGACUGGACAUCCUUGUGGCCAAAGGUGGGGCCCUGAGCCGUUACCCCACAUGAGCCAUAACCCAAGAUGACCUCAUCGCCCUGUAUGUACGUGACCCCAUGGCUGCACGUGACCCACAGCCCUGGGGGAACCAUACCCCCACAUGAUCCUGUGACUCCCUGACUCUGCCUGCCCCCAUCACGCUGCGACCCAAUGCCAUUUGGCCCCAUAACUCUGGGAUCCCUGCCCCCACCUCACCCAAACAUACAACCCCAUGUGACCAGUAACUCCCUGUCACCCCAUCUGACCC
ensembl:lncRNA